rnacentral:sRNA from 2 species
GAACGUUGCAAGUUCCCGAGAGGAUUCGCAAGAAAUUGUGGAGAUGCCUUGUAACCGAAAUUAUUAAGGGGGAAUCAAAAUG